rnacentral:tRNA from 1 species
GCCGCUAUGCUCAGUGGCUAGAGCGUUGGUCUCGUAAACCAAAGGUCGCAAGUUCGAAUCUUGUUGGCGGCA